CCUACGGGAGGCAGCAGUGGGGGAUAUUGCACAAUGGGGGAAACCCUGAUGCAGCGACGCCGCGUGGGUGAAGAAGCGCCUCGGCGCGUAAAGCCCUGUCAGCAGGGAAGAAAAUGACGGUACCUGAAGAAGAAGCCCCGGCUAACUACGUGCCAGCAGCCGCGGUAAUACGUAGGGGGCAAGCGUUAUCCGGAUUUACUGGGUGUAAAGGGGGCGCAGACGGGGAUGCAAGCCAGGAGUGAAAGCCCGGGGCCCAACCCCGGGACUGCUGUUGGAACUGCGUGGCGAGAGUGCAGGAGGGGCAGGCGGAAUGCCUGGUGUAGCGGUGAAAUGCGUAGAUAUCAGGAGGAACACCGGUGGCGAAGGCGGCCUGCUGGACUGCAACUGACGUUGAGGCCCGAAAGCGUGGGGAGCAAACAGGAUUAGAGACCCCGGUAGUC
rnacentral:rRNA from 1 species